GUGCGAGAAGUAUCUUCGGAUAUGAGUAGAGCGGCGGACGGGUGAGUAACGCGUAGGAAUCUACCUAGUAGAAGGGGAUAGCCCGAGGAAACUCGGAUUAAUACCGUAUACCUCCUUAGGGAGAAAGAGGGCCUCUCUUGAUGCUCUCGCUAUUAGAUGAGCCUGCGUAAGAUUAGCUUGUUGGUGAGGUAAUGGCUCACCAAGGCUACGAUCUUUAGCUGGUCUGAGAGGACGAUCAGCCACAUUGGGACUGAGACACGGCCCAGACUCCUACGGGAGGCAGCAGUAGGGAAUAUUGGACAAUGGGCGCAAGCCUGAUCCAGCCAUACCGCGUGUGUGAAGAAGGCCUUCGGGUUGUAAAGCACUUUAAGCAGGGAGAAAAAGCUAUAAGUUAAUACCUUAUAGCCCUGAUGUUACCUGCAGAAUAAGCACCGGCUAAUUCCGUGCCAGCAGCCGCGGUAAUACGGAAGGUGCAAGCGUUAAUCGGAAUUACUGGGCGUAAAGCGCGCGUAGGUGGUUUGUUAAGUUGGAUGUGAAAGCCCUGGGCUCAACCAAGGAACUGCAUCCAAAACUAACUCACUAGAGUACGAUAGAGGGAGGUAGAAUUCAUAGUGUAGCGGUGGAAUGC
rnacentral:rRNA from 1 species